AGCAACAAUACAGAUGGACAGUUUUACCUCAGGGGUUUACAGGGCCACCAAUUUAUUUGGGCAAAGUUCUAGAACAGAUUUUUGAGCAAUUCCAACCUCCCAAGGAGGUAUUACUGUUAGAAAAAUGUGGAUGAUCGUUUAUUGUCAGGACAGGAGAAAACAGUUGUGAAGGAAGCUACUAACAAGCUAUUCAGGGCUUGGGAGUAUUGAAAAAUAAAUUACAAUAUGUAGAACGAGAAGUCAGGUAUUUAAGGCAUCUAAUGUCUGAGG